CCCCCCCCCCAUGACUACUUGGGUUAUUGCCCCCUGAAAUGAAAGAGACAGCGUUCCUACUCAGCUGUUGUUAGUUUGCUGUUAUAUACAACACAUGUAUAUAUAUAUACGUAUCUAUGUACACAACACGUGUAUAUAUAUAUACAUGUUUACGUGUGUUGGACUUGGAUACAUAUAUUACCAUAUAAAUACAUGUAAAUAUGCAGUAAAUCUAGAGGUGAAUACGACGCGUUGGCGCAUCGACCUGUCAAACACGGAAGAGAACAACGACCACGUGGGAGUCGCUGCUGAUGAGGACGUCGUUUUACACGUCUGCGUGUACAGGAAUAGUAAGUGGAACAGUCAUUUUCAUCAACCAUAUAAAUACGAAUAAGAAGAAUAAGAAAUUAGAUGGAAUAAGAGGGAGAAACUGUAUGUUUGGUGCAUCUAAACAUUGUUACUACCUGUUUACCUGUUUACCUGUUUACCUGCGUACCUGCUUACUCAGCCUGCUUAGCUGUUUACAGACAUUUCUGUGACCAGACUAAUCCAGAGGGGGAUUACAGCAAACUAGAGAGGAAUACAGAACAACAUGCAGUAAACGUUCCUUAGAUGUAGAAGAGCGUGUUAAAGCUCAUUACAAUUCAACUUGAUGUUGAAUCUUAAUCAGACCAACUGAGAUUAAAACCCACCAAGUAGAUGUUGUUUGUGUAACGAGGUCAACGGACAAAGACCCAAAUCCACAGAGCAUUUCAAUCUGUAAACUCACUAAUUAGAUGCAAACGCUGAUGUUAACUGAAGUUGGUUCGCUGAGUCGCAGUGACCUGCAUGUGGAAACUAGUAAGUCUCUUUAGAGGGUUACUGAAGAGGAACAAAGGCCCCACGGAGCAGCUUCAGAUCUCCCUUCGAUUACAGCCCAGCUGAUUGUGCUCCUUUGGACUCAUGGUAGCCGGUGUGAUUGUCUGGAGACUCGCCCGAUUAGACAUGGACUUAUUAUGGUACUGACUUGAGAUUGAAAUUCAGUGUGACGGAUGAGACUGACUGACGGAUAUCUGGAGGGAUGGAUGGGUGGGUUGGUUGGUUGGUAGGUAGGUAGGUAGGUUGGUAGGUAUGUAUGUAGGGAGGGAGGUUGGUAGGUAGGUAGGUAGGUAGGUUGGUAGGUAGGGGGGUUGGUAGGUAGGUAGCUAGGUAGGUAGGUAGGUUGGUUGGUAGGUAGGUAGGUAGGUAGGUAGGUAGGUAGGUAGGUAGGUAGGUAGGUAGGGAGGUAGGUAGGUAGGUAGGUAGGUAGGUAGGUAGGUAGGUUGGUUGGUUGGUAGGUAGGUAGGUAGGUAGGUAGGGAGGUAGGUAAAAAGGUACCAGGGUCUGUAGCUGCAUAGAUCUGGUAGAAAUGUCAGUGAGCAGGAAGAAAUGAGUGGGUGAAGUUAAGCUACGGGGCUAAACGGGGUUGAUUAAAGAGAAAUGUAAAAGAUGAGAAUGAGUGAUAUCAGCUAAAGAGUUAAAGAGAAAAUAAGGGAAUGAAGGUGAAUGUUGAAAGAAAGAAAAAACAAGCAGCUGCAGUGCGUCAUCUCUUUAAGCCCCGAAAUGACGAAGCGAAGCGCCCAGAGCCACAUAAUCCCGUCCCCCAUUAGCAGCCGAGUACCAUGACCACACACUCACACUCAGGCACUCGAGUGCUGCAAUGUCCAAUGUCAGGAUCUCCGAUCCACCGAGUCGGUUGAUGAGAAGAAUCGCAGCACGUUGAUCAAUUAAAGUCAAAAAGUUAACAUUUAUUUAGAAGAGAAAAAGAUUACAUGAGCAAUUCUCCGCAGAUAUCUGGCUCUAACUAUUGCUUGCAAGCAGGAGGUCCAACACAGCAGCACGUAUCUCAGCGUUCGGCGUAAUGACGUCUCCGAGCAGUAAAACCGCUGAGUUUUUCUACACAUGAAGACCAUCCUCAGUGCCCGUUACGAGAAGCUAGAAAGCAGGUUGAGAUAAGAACCCAGGUGAAGAUGAGGGAAACACACACACACACAAGAUCCUCCUCAGUGGCCGGUGCACAUCAUAAUUAAUUGACAUGAAGUUAAAACGUGGAUCCGGAACUUUCGUACCGAAUAAGAUAUGAACCAAGGCCACGAACAGAAGUCCUUUGUUUUGAAGCGUCUGUUAAGUUAAGUUAAAUCCCUUCUUCAGACACAGCUGCAAACCUUCAAUCUUUCUGUCUCUGCACAUCACAGUCAAAAACAGGCACCUGAGGCCCGGCUUUAGCACAAAACAAUGUUAUAAUAUAUUUUACCAGUAGAUGCAUCUCACACCGACCUGACAGAAAGUUCCUUUGCUGCAUUUGUGUCAAAGUGUAAUUAAUUCAUCGAGAAACCCUACGAAAGAACACCACCUCUGCCGCCUGAAGCCUCUCACUAACACGGGCAUCUCCACGAGAGGUCACCGGGGUCACCCGUGACUCCCGUGGGUGGAGUUUAAUGCCAACGCAGGCUUUGAGUGAGCAGCAGGGGCCCCGUGUCAUUCUGCGUGUUAUAACGAGAUCAACACAUGUUCCAGUGAGCUCUUCUAAAUCAAUACGUCUCCCACAAGCCUCCAGAGCGGAUCACCUGGCCAACGCACCGACGGUCCAUCACUGAGGAGUCACACAUUUGUUUGAGAGCCCUCAUAAGCCGAUGAGAUUGUUCGAAGGAAGUAGCAGCGCUACUCUCCACACCAUCUGAGGUCAGGAGGACACACGUCCAUGGAGAUCGAGUUCAGGAGACUUCCCAAUGAAGAAGUGAAGUGUCUGAAAGACGGAGCAGGUUCCCGUCAAGGUCCAGGUAAGUUGUACCUGAAAGGGACUAGUUCAUGUCUCAAGUGUCUUCCAGAGAGCAGGAGUAGAAUCCAAGUAUGGCUUUUGGGAAAAUGUCCAGACGUGUAUGAAACAUGUUU
ensembl:lncRNA